CCAAAAACAGUUAAAUCUUAAUUGAUUAACUCCUAAGUUCUAAUUAAAGGACUUAACAAAAACUUAAGAAAAACAACAAAAAAUCCUGGAGCCGGGCCUUUGCAAUGGACAAGGGGUGUAGGUCCAACAUGAGAAGUGUGGAUAGGAAUUGAUCCGCUUGACCUCAAACCCGGAUUCGAGCUUCAGAUAGGAAAGAAUGGAUCUCCGAUCUUCUUAUCCACCUGCGUACUAGCCUGGAUCGAAAAUGAGCUGGAGUUUCUCCGAAGGAAUUCAUCGCAUUGUGCGGCCAAGAAGACUCCGACGAAGCUCGCACAAGUCCGUUGCAUGUUCAGAUCCGUAUCACGCUCCUUGGCUCCUCUAGAUUCGACGUCUUACCUCACGAAUUCAUGAACUCUCCAAUGAAGAACCAAGAACAACAAUCGGAUUCGCGGAUACUCUCAACAUUGAAUCGACAUCGAGACCGAGACUGAAUUAACUUCGUUUCUUUUUCUUGUGCGCGAAUUGAAAGAAAUUGAAGAGAGAGUGGUUACCUACCGGAAUCGAUGUGUUGACGGUGCGGUUGGUUGUUCGUUCUGUGAGUUCCUGCAGAAUCGGCUAAACCGAGAGCGAAGAGGGAGAGCGUACUCGUGGCGCAAUGGAACUUCGAAGAUGGAAAGCGGAAUCGAAGCUGUGGAUUCACCGGUUCAGAUGAUUGAAGAGUGAUAUUGGAUUGAAGGUGAUGAAGUGGAUUGAAGGUUGGUGUGGUGAAGGUUUUGUGAAUGGAGGUUGAAGUGGCGGUUACCGGUUUUUGUGAGUUUGUUACGGUUGUUGAAGGAAUUGAAGAGAGGAAGAAGAAUCUGGAAAAAAUAUUUGAGAGCGGGAAGAAGAAUUUAUAGAAUUAAGUUUGAUUUUUCCGUUGCCGUUUAUUUCAUUUCUAUUGCCGUUUUGCAGUUUGGCUUAAUGAAGCUGGUAUUGGUACUUUGUGUUGGAGCUGUUGUUUUCAUAACUUGGUUGUUGCCGUCGGCUUGCGGAAGUAGCUCAAGUUUUUGUUGUGUUAGCUUGAACUUUGCGUUGGAAUUUUGCAGGUGGCUCGUUCAAGCUGUUGUUCUUUAAAUUGGCACGUGCAUUUUACUGCUGGUGUUGUAGUUGAUAAUGGCUUAUUGCUGCACUUAUUAUGCAGCUUGUGGCUUUUCGCUUGUUGCCGCGGUUUUAGCUUUGGCUUGCGCUAGCUUUUGAUUUCCUUCUUGCAACUGGCAUUGGAUGUACUUUGUUUUUUCCUUUCCAUAAUGUAUAUUAACAAUGUAAAGUAUUAUUUGAAUGAUGGUUUAGAAAUUGUAAAUGAAAUGAAUUUGGAUA